rnacentral:lncRNA from 1 species
UGCACUGCAACCUCUCCGAGCUCCUCUUUUGAAAACUGAGUACCUGAAACCAAAAACUAAAAACCGUAAACAUGAAGCUUAGUGAGCUCCCCAAACUACUACAUACCAUACAAUAACAUAUAAAGCACAUACUGGGCCUUGCCCACUACAUUGGACCAAAGUCCAGAAACUACAUCGGGCCGAAGCUCGGACUAACUGGGACCUUGUCCCCUGCAUCGGACUGAAGUCCGGAAACUGCAUCGGGCCAAAGCCCGGACUAACUGGGACCUUCUCCCCUGCUUCGGACUGAAGUCCGGAAACUACAUCGGGUCGAAGCCCGGACUAACUGGGACCUUGUCCCCUGCGUCGGACCGAAGUCCGGAACUGACUGAUCAUAGCAUAGCAUAAACACAUAUCAACUAGUACAAACACAUACACUGCAUACUGCAUCGGACUGAAGUCCGGAAUACAUAACACAUAAACAUACUUGAAUCACAGAGACACCAAGCAUACUGAACUACUGCAUCGGACCGAAAUCCAAAACUACUGCUAACUAAACAGGCCGGCAUUGUGGUCGUAGACCCGUUCCUACUGGAAGGAAUCUCACCUCGUGAUGCUGACUACUGAAAUCCUGAAUGAGAAAUCCCUGUCUGCUGCUCCGGCUGCUUCCCGGCUAUCAAAGGAAAUAAAAUACUUAAUCAGAAUAGGGACUCUCCUCUGGGUAAAAUGACCAUUUUACCCCUGCUAUGGNAAAGUCAAAGUCAAAGUCCUGGUCAAAAUCAACCUUCCAGAUCAACCCUACUCGCAGCGUCUGCCUACUGACUCGCCGAGUUCAUACGCUCAGGAUCCUUUCAUUCAUGACUCGACUCGCCGAGUCUACUGAUUUCCGAGUUCUGCCCUGUCCAACUCACUGAGUCCCCACUCCACUCACUGAUCCGAGUCUUAACUCGAAGGGUUUGGGGUUUCGCGACUUGACUCGCCGAGUCCAAGAACAGACUCGCCGAGUCCUAGGCAAUCUUCAACAGACUCGCCGAGUUGUUCUUCCAACUCGUCGAGUUCCUGCCUAUCUUCAUCCAACUCGCCGAGUCUACCCAUGUGACUCGCCGAGUUACUACGCGACUCAAGCCUGAUAUCUAGCCUGACUCGCCGACUCCAUACGUGCAUUUCCAUAAUUUCGAGUCACAGAGCUUCUCCUUUGCUCCAAACAAUAGAUCUGGGUUCCUAGAGUCCAUUAGCAACAUAAAGUUGCUAACUUUACGUGUUUCUUGUCUCAUAAUACCAAAAACCAAGCUAAAGAGGAACUCAACUCAUGGGGAAAGGCUUUUGCAUAGCAACUAACAUGGCUUUCUGCACCUUUGGUCCAAAUAGAGCUCAGAUCUGGAGUUUCAACUCCAGAUCUAACUUGUGCACCGAUUUCUCAUCCCAUACUCUCAAAGAAACCCUAAAACUCCAUGAAAGAUGGAUCUAGAAAGGAGAAAGCCAAGGAUAACGAUUCAUUACCUCCAAAUGCCCUAAAAAGUUCCACCAUCUCUGGAUCCAAGGCCUCCUCUUGCACCACUAUGACUCUCUUCUCUUCCAAGCUCCAAAUUACUUCACCAAGGGUAGAUCUUGCUCCAAAAACGAUUAUGGUGGCUAGGGUUUGGGGUUCUGGACUAUAGGGGCCGCAAAUGAGCCCUAGGGAAGAGAAUAAGAUGCUUAAAUAGGGUACCGAGUCCUAGAAUUAGGGUUUCCCGACCCAGACCAAACUCGUCGAGUCCACUUGCCGACUCGCCGAGUCGGCCACUUACUUUACACCCGGAUCCCGCUCCGACUCGUCGAGUUCCUCCCUGGACUCAAUGAGUCGACCCCCCUUUAACUUAUGGUUUUCCUUUCCUUUCUUGACCUUUCUGAUUUCGGGUGUUUCACUUUUCUUAGCUACCGGUGAGAAUGUUUCCUCAUAAUCAAUUUCUGGAUUCUGAGAGUUAGUCUUUUCCACCAUACUAUCCUUGGAAGUGUGUACAUUCCUAUCCAUUUAGUCUUCAUAUUGAAUAUCUAAUUGCAACCCACUAUUAAAAGACUAAGCUUCAGAUCAACCAUUCUCAAACUUGGUUAUCCGUCAUGGACUGAAUUUUGCUAUCCUUAGACCCAUCUCAUUGGCAACCCCAAGGCCUGCCAUUGUUUCUUAAUAGGUACUAGAAUAUCCAAAUUGGUCCAUAUUUUAUCACUAUUUAACGUGUCACCUUUUGCGGUUGAUCAAAUUCAUAAAACUUGGGAGGCGCACUAACUCUACUUUAUUCGCAAAGAGGUAAACAAUGUCCUUUGACACAAGUGGUUUUCAACAUCAAGUUAAGAGCUAAUUCAAGCUAUAGGUUCAAUGUCAGUCAUAUCUCAUAUUUCAUCAAGGUCAACAUGACUCCCACUGACUUCUUUAUAUGUAUAUGUUCUUACUCUCAAGGAACACUCAUCUUGAGAUACAAGAAUCACAUUCUCAUGGGUAUUAGUUUCUCAUCUAACGAAAGAACUCACAACACCAUACCUAAAUGUGAUGGAACUUUCCAAGUCCACAUUUCAUCAGGUGUCUACAAAUCUACUUAGGCAGUUACAAGGUUCAAAACAUGUUCUACUAUUUCUAUGUGUAUUCCCAGAAAAUGUAAUUGGUAGUGAAUCACGAAUCAUCAUAGAUUCGAACUAAUUAGAAUUCGAUUCUCCUUUUAGAAACAACAUUAUAUUAUGGUUUCCUUGGAGAAUGAAAUUAUCGAAAGCAUUCCACAAUCUCUAAGAUGAUCGUAGAACUCGAUACUAAGGCAUUCUCCAUUCCUUUUAGAUCGGAAACUCUUUAUCUUCCUGUCCAAUUGAUUCCCUACUUUGUUUUGAUACUCUUGAGCUAUUCAAAAUGUCAAACUUAUACUUAAUCAUGUAAACAUAAUAAAAUCUAUUGAAACUAUCAGUAAAUAUGACAUAGUAGUGCUUGCCAUCCCUUGUCACGGAUCUAAAAGGUCCACACGCAUUGAUGUGUAGAAGAUCCAAAACAAGACUCGCAUACAUCAUCCAACCCAAAGUGGAAUGAUUACAUGUCCGGUGUAAUUGGAGCUUAGUGAUGGGAAUCAUACUUAUUUGGUAAGGGAGAUUAUUCCACAAGCACGUUGUUAUCUACACUAUUAGUGGAAUUAAUAUUUAAGUUAAUAUUGGUACUAUUAGAAACAUAAACUAAAAUUUUAUGAAUUCCAAAUGCAAGAAGAAGUUAUACACAUAAAACCAUCAUCUUUAUAUACUAGAAUUUCACUUUUCCAUUAUCAAAUGAAAAUUGAAAUUCAUGUUUAUGCAUCGCAUAAAAUGAAAUUAGGUUUAUAUACAUAUUCGAAGAGUAAUAGACAACAACUAAAUCUUUCUUCACUCCACUUCUAAGCACAAAGCUCUAAAUCUAUAAUAAUUGAGACAUGCGACACUCGUCCACUCCAAUGAUUAGGUUUAGGUCUCGAUGCUUAAGACUUCUUUCUUUCUUAUAGAUCCUUAAAUUUCAUACAAAUGUGAUUACCACAUAACACAUCAUGUAUCCAUGAAUUAGAAGUGUUUUGAGUUUGAUUAUCCAAGUGCUUGAUUUAGAGUCAAACAUUUGACUUUACCAUCUCCAAGUACUUAGGACAACUUCUUUUCUUCUGAUCAUUUUCAUCGAAUUGAUUGAAACUUGCCUCUUUUGAAUCGUGGUUGCGUAGAAUAGAGGACACACCAAUUCCAUUUGUGACAACUGGGAAAACUUCGUCACUGACCACCGUCAGAAAUUAGCAUAGAUAAAUAAAUGUAAUAGAGUGUCAAUGUAACAUUUCAUUUUAUAAAUAAAUAUGAUUGAGUAUAAUCUUACAUAUAAGAAUAAAACAACUAAUAGGCUCAAAAAGUCAUGUCGUACUUCUCGAGGAGGAUUUAUUAACGUAAUAUUUCAUUUUAUAAAUAAAUAUGAUUAAGUAUCAAUAUAAGAUUUCGUUUGAUAAAUUAAUCCGGCUUUGAUUGGAGAAGUUAUGAUUUUUGUAAAAAGUAAAAUCAAUUGCGUAAAUAAAGUUAUUAAUGUCAAAAUGUCACUAGGAGAUUGGUUAGGUUUUGUCUGGUGUCACCAAAAGGAAAGUGAAAGUACAUCUUGAGGUGAGAACGUUAAGACAAUGAACGCUGAAACAGAGUCUGUAUGAGGAAGAUAUGAUUUUUAUAAAAUUAUUUAAUUAUACCCCCAUUAGGCCAAAAGAUGAAAGUCAAAACUAGCCAAAACAACCUAACGAUAAGUUGUAGUACUACUUGAGAUCAUCACACAUAUAUAAAGGGGGUAAAGAUCAAACUCGUACGCACGAGAGAUGAUUUUACAAAAAUCAUUUAUAUACGCGUGUGGUGCGCGCAUUGCACGAUGUGCACUCUGACAUCCAAUUUGAGUACAUUGUUGGCGACGUUGCACAGCGAGAGAGUGACAGGCGGCGACUCUCGGAUGGAGCCACGGUGCUCAUGCGCAACGUGCACAUAUAUUUGUGUGGCGUGCACCCCAAAAACUUGGUAUAAAUAGGAGUAUCCACAGAACCAUUCCUGCACACCUCCUAAGUAUCUCCCUUUCAAUUUCUGAUUGAGGCAGUCCAUCCCGAGGCAGUCUCUGAAGUUUCUACUCCCGAAUCAACCCUACAUCAACGAAUCAAGAUAAUAGGGUGAGUUCACGACCCUACCUUUACUGUUUUUACAAGUUUACGUAGGGAAUACAUGUUAUAAGACUACUUUAUCGAUUUUUACAAAACGGUUAUUAUUUGUAAUAUAUUAGUAAUUUAUACAAAUACAUGAAACGUUAGGAUAAUAUUAUGACCGGUAGUUACCCUGCCUAAACUUUAGGAAUAAUACUAUGCCUAGUGGUUAUGCUGCCUAAAGCUAUAUUAAAAGAUUUCUGCUAGUUGUUAUGUUGGCUUAUACCGUAGGAUAACAUACUACCUAAUCGUCAUGCUAGCCAAACAUAAGGAUAAACAAUGUAAUUAGUUGUUACUCUGCCCUAAUAUCCUAUCAAAUAAUAUCAAUAUAUAUAUGGUCCAUUGGUAUAGCCUAGACUGCUCCAGCGCGCCAGCCUGGCCUGGCGCGCUCCUGGCGCGCUCCUGUCAGCCCUGCCUGGCGUUCCCUUGCCAGCCCUGCCUGGCGUUCCCUUGUCAGCCCUGCUGGGGACUCUCCUGCCGGCUCGGCCAGGCGCUCCCUCGCCUGGCACUCCCUUGCCAUCCUUUCCUGGUGCGCGCCCGCCAGCCUCUCCCGGCGCCUCCGGGCGGCCUCACCCAGCUCCUUGCUAGUUGGGCCUGAUUUGGAUAGGCCCAAGGUCUGACCUAAUUGUCCCAUAUAUAAUGAACCGUACCUUCUCCAUGAUUGAGGGGGACUCUCUCCUAGGUGGUUCAGCCACCACUAGACCCUUCCCUAGAUCUUCCCCCAUGGCUCAACCGCCACUAUAUUCCGGCCGGGUGGCUCAGUCGCCACCCGCGACCAUCAGCCACCAUACACCACCACCAGCACCAAGAUGGUUCUCUCCAGCCAUGGAGGACCAUCUCAAAUCUUCUAGCUGAUCUAACUUGACCGUCGGAGCCCGCUCCCGGGGCACAGUGCCUGGGGCGGCUCUAACGAUAUUGUACUGUGAUCUCAGAUCUCCGCUGCAGCAGAAGACCAGAGGAGCCGCCAUAGGUCGAUGUCGCAUCAUUUGGCGCCAUCCCGGAUUCGAGCAAGUAGCAAAAGCCUUAGUCGCUUUCAAGCUCGUUUUUCCUCAGAUCUAAUGUGUUUUCAUCUCAGGUUUCUUCAGAUCUGUUGAUCUCUAGUAUGAUUUGGUCAAUUAUGUUCAUGUUUGGCAUAAAUUUGUUCAGAUCCGUUUGGCUUUUGCCAAGAUCUGUUCAGAUCAAUGUGUUUCUUGACAAGAUGUCUUCAGAUCUAUUAAGCCAUCGUUUAGAUCUCAAGAUCUAUUUCAUUUUCAGUUCAGAUUUCUUGAGGUAUUUUCGUUUUUCAGCUCAGAUCUCUAGAUAUGAAAGUUUUUGUUCACUUAAUCAUCUCUCAAGUUUAAAAACAGCAACUCAGACCCGUUUUAAAUAUAUUUUCGGGGAGAGAAGAGGUUUUCAGGAGCUCCUCUCUAUUUUUAUGUUCAUAUUUUGGUGUUUUAUGGAACAACUCGACAGUUGAAGAACUUUUUGGUAGAUAUUUACUUUAUUUUGAGUUUAUGUUAUGAAGAAAUCACCUUCGGUUUACGGUUUUCUUUAGGUGCUUAGAAAAGAAAACGAAAAUUUCUUAGAUAUGUUUGUUGUUCAUACUUUAAUGACUUGAUGAGCAAGUUGAAAAGAAAAAAAAAAGUUCAUGAGGAGAAAACCUCAUCAGAUCUCGUUUUUGUUUAUAUCUUAAAGGUUGAGAAAGAAAAGAAGUUUUAUGAGUUUUAAACCCACUUUCAUCAGCUCUUAAGAUCAGAAAAAAUCAUUUGUUAGUUGGUUUUUUCAGUAUAUAACUCCAUUUUACAACUUCGGCUCUUGUAUUCAUUUGCAUUUUGGUGAUUUCUUGAGCAUUGAAAAGGAAAGAGGUUUCUACGGUUCAUAAACCAUCCUUUUUGUUCAAAUUGAGAAGAAAAUCCGUUUUUUAGAUAAGGAAAUUUGUAUGUUUUUUACCAAUUUUGACAGCUUCCUGUAAACAUAGCUAUGUUUCUUGUACAUUACAAAAAAAAAAAAAGAGAGAGGAAAAAUAACUUAAGCUCAUAAUCUUUUAUAAAUCUCUAUCUCUGUAAUUAUUUUGCUUGUACACAAAGCUAUGUCCAUUGUACACUUCUUAAAACCCCCAAAAAUUCGUUUAUCCCUUCUCACCAAAACCACCUGACCACAUUUUGUUAUUUUUAACUCAAAGAUUUAUUCUAGCCUCUCCAAUUUACUGCUCAAAAAACAACAAAAAAAGAAAGUAAGAAGAGACUUCUGGAAAUAAUGUGUAGAAAGAGGCGUAAUAAAGAAAGGGGGGUGUAUAGUGUACCCAGAUAAAAAGGAAGAAGACAAAAUACAGCUGGUGUGUCAUAUGCAGCGUAAGUGUAGGUGGGAUCCAAGCAUUUUGAAAGAUACAGAAGAGGCAAAAUGGGGCGCAUUUGGUCAACGCUCCUUUGGAGUAACCCGACUCACCCUUUCCAUUCAACCGACAACAACCACCAGAUCGGGCGUACCGAUGACCCAACAACAUCGUCUUCCUGUGUAGACGGACUCCAAUGAGGAACACAAAAAUAAAAAACAAUCAUAACCAGGGAUUUCAACCACCAGUCGCUACUAGUUCCAGGCACCCGACGAGGCACCACCGGCCUUUCCUUUUCGUGACCUGCUGAAGACAGCCGGAGCCGGGGACCGCCGAUCACUCGUCGGGACCAAAUGACAGCAGAUCCGAAGCAAAUAACCACAGGGGCCUCUCCAUUGACCCAUCAAUCAAAAACAAGCCAUCACCAACCUAUAGCUCCGACGAGCGAGCUCUGGAGGCAACAGUCUCUUGGCGACCCAAAACAAUCUCUGGCCCCGGCGUUUUUGUUUAAUCAAUAUUGGAUGAAAUUACAACACCGCCACUUAACCUCCGCGCCCCUGUGUCCAAUUAACCACCGCAUACGCCGGACGGUCGAAGAACCUCGGUCUCUAAGAGCUGCUCCCUCUGCCAGACUACCUGUCAUCGCCUCAUCACUACCGGCAACCCAACACGCCAAUGUCGCUGCCGGAAUCGCUGCUCUGUUUUCUUUCUCCGCCAUCGUCUCCAGGCAACGAACCACCGGGAAAGGCCGGCAAGAUGUCUAGGACACACAAGAUACCCAAUCACCGACGUGUUCCUUUUUGGCUCCCCACUUGAGAGAUUGGGAAAAUAAGAUGUUGGCUGGAAUCCUUCUAUCCCCAAGACGCAACAAAUGAGAAAACCAAUGGGCCCAAAGCUGGCCAGCCCAUAUGCGCACCAUAUAAUAAAAAAACAAUUGGGCUAAUUAUCUUUACACAAAUGUACUGUGGUUAUUGUGGGCUCCUCCUAAAAAUUGGCCAUAUGAUAUCGGUCAAUUUUUAACAAGCCUUAUUUUACCAAUUAGCCGCUCAUUGCUUUCUUGCUGUGAUUUGACCUAGCAAAAUCAAGAUGUGUUUGCGGUCCAGUUCAUCUUGCACCAUAUAAUAAUAAUAUAAAAAAAGCCAGAUUUAGGCUAACGAUUCAACAUUUGGGCUCAUCCAUAAAUGGGCUGCUGCCAUUAUAUUUUGGUUUUCUCCCAUAUUCGAUCACUUAGAAUAUCUCAACAGUUAAAUGGGCCGCUUUCGCAAGAGAAAAAUCAACAACUCAACGUCAUGUGCUCCGAUCCAGUCAAGCUGAAUAUGAUUCUAUAAGAUGCGGUCCGAC